UACGAAGGGGGCUAGCGUUGCUCGGAAUCACUGGGCGUAAAGGGUGCGUAGGCGGGUCUUUAAGUCAGGGGUGAAAUCCUGGAGCUCAACUCCAGAACUGCCUUUGAUACUGAAGAUCUUGAGUUCGGGAGAGGUGAGUGGAACUGCGAGUGUAGAGGUGAAAUUCGUAGAUAUCAGGAGGAACACCCGUGGCGAAAGCGGCUCUCUGGGACGGUACUGACGCUGAGACGCGAAAGCGUGGGGAGCAAACAGG
rnacentral:rRNA from 1 species